UACUCAAAGUUGCUUAUAAUUCUAACAAAUACCCUCAUUAAUAUAAAAGUCUUUAUACCUAUACCAUAUAGUCUCACAGUCCAUAAGUCAGCAUCAUCAUCGUGAAAGAAGAAAGUUUGUUUCACAUCACACAGAAUUCCUGUUUCCCUUAACUUCCACAAAUUAGAGUAUAAAUUGGCAGUUACCACGUCUGAUUGACAUCUCUGGCGAUCACAUCAAAUUAGUCUAUUAUUCAGGUUAAUAUAUCUGGAAUGCCUGUAACAAGGAGUUGAUGAUCUGUUUUAAUACUGUUCAUAAUUAUGUGAUCCCUAAUUGUAGGUGGUUACCCAAGAUGUAGGGUAGAGUGACACUUGACAGCUAGAACAUUAUGGCAUGCAGGCAGGAGUCUUGGUUUGCAUUUAUCCUUCCUGUGCUGAUCAAACUGCAUGUGGACUUGUAUCAAACUUUUUCAAACAACCAUGGAUCAGUGCUGUAUAUUCUUAAGGGCACUCACAGAAAGGUGGACAACCAAAUAAAUGAUCCACAGGCAGUGCUGGUUCCCUGCUCAGCAUCAUUAAACUUGAACUGGUUUCUAUGCUCUCUUAAAUUGAAGUAAAGAUCUGUAUGCCAGUAGUUAUACAAAAGGAGUUCUGUUCAAGGGACCUACAAUAUCCAGAUCAACCCUUUCAAGUGGAGCACCAACAAUAUAUUGUUUCAGUGGAGCCUUAGGAGUGCGGGUU